AAAGUUUUAGUUUAAAUAAAAUAUUUUUAUUACAAAAAAAAGAUAAUUUUAUAAAAUUAAAUUUUA
rnacentral:tRNA from 1 species